rnacentral:rRNA from 1 species
UACAGAGGGGGCAAGCGUUGUUCGGAAUUACUGGGCGUAAAGGGCGCGUAGGCGGCCCGCUAAGUCGAACGUGAAAUCCCCGAGCUCAACUCGGGAACUGCGUCCGAUACUGGCGGGCUUGAAUCCGGGAGAGGGAUGCGGAAUUCCAGGUGUAGCGGUGAAAUGACGUAGAUAUCUGGAGGAACACCGGUGGCGAAGGCGGCAUCCUGGACCGGCAUUGACGCUGAGGCGCGAAAGCUAGGGGAGCAAACGGGG